ACUUAACUUGCUCUUAUUCCCGAAUAAUUAUAAAAUUGUCUUCCGAUACUUAUACUUAACACGUUAUUCCAACGACUAACUUUCUCAUUCCAUGUCUUUCAUUAAUUAACUUUCACACUUAACUCCAUCUUUACUUCCAAAAUAUCAUAUACCAACCUUACAUUUCUAGAUUGCUUACUUAACUUCAAUUCUUUCAUCACAUUAUCUCUACCCAAUUGAUAACUCAAUUUCCAAAAUUAUAAUCCUUCAACUUCUAAUCUCAACAAUUGAUUUAGGCUUCCUAUUGCAACACGACAUCCACCUUCGACGGUUCCACAUCUAUUCAACCAUUGUUCGAUAACACGUGAUUACAAAAUUCAUUUCCGGUAACCAAAACUCACACUUCAACGACUUUGCAUACAACAUCUUUCUAUUGAAAAGAUUUGCCACUCAUUUCUCCGAUGCUCCACAUACCCUUCAACUGACUUUAAAUACACUAAGGUAUCAUCCAUAAACAUUCUCGACAUACUAGUCACACCCUACGGCUUCACAAUUACUCUUAUUGUGUUCUGAAAUUAGUCUCUGGUAUAACCUCUGAUUCCAAAUUCCAUCUUACUUGACUUACGAGUACUGAUCAACUAAUCCUUAAAAUCCUCAAAUGGUAUUCUCAUCCAGUCGUCGAUAAUCACCACGUCGUCUCAUGUUGUCGUUCUUCUUCUUACUCAAUUACACUGACGUCCUCCACUGCGAAACAAACUUUACUAACUAAUGCAUGAACUUCAAUGACAUCUCCAAUUGGUCUGAUUCUUCGCUCCCGAAAUAUCUCAGAAGGAUACAAUCUUCUCCCCCACUUAUCUUAAACCCACCGACAAUCAUCUAUCGAAAACUCUCAAUUCUAGUAAUUAAAUGCAGGCUUCUACGGUACUAACUUAUCCUCCUAGUAAGGAACUAGUACCGACAGUGAUUACACACAUGUCGUAUACAAGGGGUAACUACUUAAANNNNNNNNNNNNNNNNNNNNNNGCACAAAAGCAAAACAUAACAUUUCACAUAGACAUUCAAGUAGCAUACACUUUCUCUAAAUCUCUAAAUUUAAGAAUCAAAUCAAUCAUUAGAAAAGAUGUAUUCCAUAGCAACGAAUUCAAAAAAUUCAACAAUUCAUGCAAGCAUGUCAUACAAGAAUAUAACUAUCUCAACUUGAAGAUUAACAAGAUAAAAUAAGGUAAUCAAAACAUGUACAACAUAUAUGCCAAGCUCAACAUAAACAAAAUAGCUUAGUAGUUUACUAUAACUUACCAAUAGUAAAAAGAAUGAAUCAACUUACAUGACAUUAAUCUAGCACAUCUCAUAUAAGACAAAACAAAUGUCAAACAUAUUUUUGAAUUAACUUUUUACUACUAACUUCUAUUCUUAGAAAAAUAGAAUAAUC
rnacentral:lncRNA from 1 species